GAUGAACGCUAGCGGGAGGCUUAACACAUGCAAGUCGAAGGGCAGCACGUCUUCGGAUGGUGGCGACUGGCGAACGGGUGCGUAACGCGUAUGCAACCUACCCUCAACAGGGGAAUAGCCCAGAGAAAUUUGGAUUAAUACCCCAUAGUAUUACAGAUUCGCAUGUUUCUGUGAUUAAAGUUCCAACGGUUGAGGAUGGGCAUGCGUGACAUUAGCUUGUUGGUGAGGUAACGGCUCACCAAGGCAACGAUGUCUAGGGGUUCUGAGAGGAUGAUCCCCCACACUGGUACUGAGACACGGACCAGACUCCUACGGGAGGCAGCAGUGAGGAAUAUUGGACAAUGGAGGCAACUCUGAUCCAGCCAUCCCGCGUGCAGGAAGAAGGCCCUAUGGGUUGUAAACUGCUUUUAUACAGGAAUAAACCCCUNUACGUGUAGAGGGCUGAAGGUACUGUAAGAAUAAGCACCGGCUAACUCCGUGCCAGCAGCCG
rnacentral:rRNA from 1 species